rnacentral:rRNA from 1 species
GAUCAUGGCUCAGGAUGAACGCUAGCUACAGGCUUAACACAUGCAAGUCGAGGGGAAACGACAUCUAAAGCUUGCUUUUGAUGGGCGUCGACCGGCGCACGGGUGAGUAACGCGUAUCCAACCUGCCCAUCACUUGGGAAUAACCUUGCGAAAGUAAGACUAAUGCCCAAUGACAUCCCACGAAGGCAUCCGAAUGGGAUUAAAGAUUUAUAGGUGAUGGAUGGGGAUGCGU